GUCAUUACAUCAUUCCUUGCCAAAGUAGAGGAUUUCUGAAGGAGGGAUGGAUACUGCUUGGCCUUUAAGAAUAGGUUUAAAAAUUAUUGACAAAUGAGACAGAUGUGUCCUGCUUGACAAUUACAGAUGAUGACGGUAGAAUUGGGUUUGGAGUCAUGACAGAAAAUGGGUUUGGGAUCCAUCUGAACACCAGCAUACCAUUAUUCCAGGUUAUAAAGAUGUACAUCAUACCGUGAUGAGCAAACUCCAGCUGCUGGAGGAAAAAGCAAAAGCAGUCCUACUUGCAGGUCUGUAAAACUGAUUAUUAUACUGGUAAUCUUCUAGAAUUUUAUUUCUCAUCCUUCUCCAGUAAUACACAGCAUGUCAGUAUUAAACAUUUACAAGGCAAAAUUUCUAAGUAUGCAAUAAUGUAGGCAUACAUAAGUGGGCUGCGGCUCUAGUAUAGUUUUGAUAUUAUCUUGGUUUUAUUUUUGAUAAAUGAUGGGUACUUUCUCCUUUUAAAUGGGAUAUUAAGGACUGAUUUAAACCUUACUAUUUAAUGAGGUCAAAAUGAGCCUUGAAAUAAUUCAGAACCUAGUCUGCUCAGCAGCAGCUAACAGACUAGGGAGCAUGCAGCCCCCGCUUUUUGUCCCUGCUGUGAAGAGCAGGAUUGAUGAGGCCAGUUUCCAAACCCUCCCAAUCUCAGGGACCAGGUUAUUUUAAUGGCUCCAAUAAAGUGUUCCUCAGACAACAAUUAAAGACAUUCUUCAAGGCCUGAAAAGCACAUAGUCCAUAGAGGACAGGGUCAAAAAUAGUCAAAGAACGAGAAAGUGGAACUAAGGAAAUAACAGUACCAGGUAUCUUCAUGUAAAUGGCAGAAAUUUUGGGGGUUUUGUUGUUCUUGUUUACCACAGGUUCCCUUUGCUCUAGAUUUUUAAUGUCCAUUUAUAUUCACUUCCACCAUGCAAAAUAAUAACCUAUUUGUAGUUAACCUCAAACAGCGAGGAAGCAGUUAUCUCCACACAAACCUGAAAGGGACCGUAGCUUCUGGCACAAGUAUGAAUGCUGGGGCAUCUGUGGGCAAAUGAAUUAAUUGCACAAUCUCUGUCCAUCUCCCUCCCUGUUUAAUUAAAAAAAAAAAAAAAACAAACUAAAACAAAAAACCAAUACUGCCUCUCCACUGCCAGUAAAAGCAGCUACUGUGGUAACCUCACAUUGUACCUGCCUGAGCUGCUGUCUCCCAGAUGAACUUUGCUGUAUUCCUCACUGGAAGGUUACAGUUGCAAGUAAAUUUUAGUCUUUUCUCCAGAAGUAUGAAACAAAUUUACACACCUAAAACUUGUCAGAUUUUUAAAUUCAUACUCCAUAUAAUUAUACAGCAUCCAGUUUGCCUCCCACAAAAAUGUCUGCCUCACUGAGACCAUGCAGGGGCAAAAUGAAGUUCAGGGUGGUAUCUAUAACCCUAUUAUUUCCUAGCCUGACUGGUGACCUAAAUAAAACUUUCAGUAUUAGUUUUUUCCAAAAUGUAAUUUAUACUAUGGCUGUCAGGAGUUAAGAUAGCAGUUGCCAUGGAGCUUUAAUCUUUUUUUAGGCUUUAGUCAAAGGAAGCUGGAAAUCUGUAUGCUGCGUAGAACCCUUCUCAACAGAAUUUUAUUUAAAUCAGGACAGGUUUUUAUCCUAAUUUCUGUACUGAAAGUUAUUCUCAAAGGUUCUAGAAUUCUUUUGAUUUUACUGUGUUUCUCAGCAGGAGAUGGAAGUUUCCUUUUAGGCUUCUUAAAUCACACUACAUUCAACCACAGAAGUACCCAAGUUGCUUCCCCCUUCACUCCUCCAACUAUAAAACUGUAACUUUCUACUAGUCUUAAUGUGCACAGCUAAUCACUGCAGUGAAAUUAAUUCACCAGUUGUACCAUUUUCAGUGGAGGCACUCUGUAAGUAUGCAGAAACAAAACUUUGGGGAGGAUUUUAUUUUCUGUGUGCCCAUUAAGCGCUAAUCCAUACGCACAAAAACAGGCCUUCGGAACAGAAGUAAUUACGGUUUGGAUCUGCGUGUAUGCUACUUGUAACUUCCUUGAUGUAUAUUUAAGAAAAAAAAGGAUGCAAUGAGCGAACCACAUCUCUGAAGUGUGAAAUUGGCCAUGCUAGUCAGUAAUGUUCGGCUAGAACACAGUUGCAGCAGAACAGAGAUACAGUCCAGCCUGAUACUUGCAGCUAAAACCUUGCUGACUGACUUAAAAUUGAACUCUCCCUACCAGGUAAGCCAAAAGAACGUAGAAAUAGGGGAAAAAAAGAAGCAGAAUUUGUCAAAAUAAGCUUUUAGAACUCUUACCCUACACCCCAAACCACAGCUUCACUUAACGAAAAAUUUGCUAGAAUUUUCACCAAAUAGAACUGUUUACUGUCCAGCUGUAGUGGAAAUCCAUAAUCCUUGAGCUGUUCCAAAGAAUCAGAAAAUUGGCACAAAAGAGAGGAUUUCAAACUUCUUCAAUUCUUUCAUGGCAGGCAUUAUAAGAGAGGUAUGAUAAUAGUAAAAAAUAAACAUUUUUUCCUUCUAGGAUAAGUCUGUGGGACUUGAAUAUCACAGUAACAUCUAGUUUUACCACUGACAGCAAAGUGUCUUACCUAACUAGCACUGGACAGAAGAAAAGUUCCUGUGAGUUUGAGUGACAGCCCUGCUCAUCAUCUUGAGAUGAUCAGAUGCAAAACCAACUAUCUAUUCCACUGAAACAAAAAUAAUUAUUUGGAGAAGUAUCCGCUAGCAGCCGCGAAGAACCUGAAGAAAACUAGACUGUCUGAUUAAAGAAACAAGGAGCAUCUCAGGUCUCUUAAAUACAGCUAUUCAGAGACAUAACUGUUCACUGCGCCCAAGAAAAGCAAUGCACUGUGAACAAGGUUCAGAAAGCCAUAAUGGUCAAGGAAACUGCUUAAAGUAGCUCAAAAGAACUUUUGAGAGGUGAGGGGAGAGAAGUGCGUAUCUUCAGGAACAGAUGCUUUACUCUGAAUUGCAGGGAGAUACACAUCUCUGUUCAAGGUUUUCAACCUUUGAGUUAGGCUCUUAUAGGAAACUCUCACAAAACAGCAAGCGCCACUACUUUCCUAAUCUCAUCUGACUCGCCUAGUGCAGACCUUCCCAAAAUACAUCUCAGUUAAUUUGUCUUGUCUGUGUCAUUCCACAGGUCAAACCAUACUUGGCCUGCCUCAAAAGCCUCCUCCACAGACACUAGCCAGGGUUGCUAGUUCUGACAAAGGAAGAUAUGCUACUUUAAGCUAUAACAUAAAAAAAGAUGUUUUUUCUUUGCCAGUGAUACAUUUCUUUGCUGAGACUCGCCGCGUAGACAGGCUGCUGUUCAGGACUAAUACAUCUGCCAUUUGAGUUUAAAGCAAGCUUCAGCAAGCAAUAGCUACUGAUACAGUAUUAGCUUUGAGAUACGCAACAGAAGGAACUUCAGACAUAUUACCUGAUGUGAUAAAGUAUCUUCAUGAUUUGCAGGGGCUUUUAUCAUUGCUCUGUUAGAUUCAGGUAUGUAUGGGGGGGAAAAAAAAAAAAAAGUCUCUAUUAGAUUGCAGCAUUUAAAGCAAGUUGGACUUUCAUAUGAAAACUGUGGUAUUUUUUCAGUCUGAGGUGCCAAUGUCAAAGACUUAAGAGAGCUACUAGAGGUGCGACCUCUUAAUAAAAGAAGUAUGUAUGCAGGUUAGAGGGAGAAAGAACUCUUGAGCCCUUAACUUGCUGGUGUAGCAAUUGCUAGUUUUGUCCCAAUAGGCUGGUGGUGUUUUAGGGGAGACCAAAUGGGGUGCAGUUCAACCCAGCUGAGUCUAAAAGAGUAAAAGCUCAGAUUGAGACUUUAAGAAUCAGAUCUGUUGCAGUCAGAAAUAGUACAAGCCACUGAAGUGCCAAACUGGUCAUUUUUAAGCAUUAAUUCAGACAAGCUGUAGUAGUUUCCCUCAAGCUGAAGGUAGGGGCUUUUAAAUGAAGAAAAAAAGGAUCUUCAAAGUUAGGAAACGCCAUCUUCUUUACAAAGGCCCAUUUCAGCUCUAAAGGAACAUCCAAAAAUGAAAAUCCUUAGAUAAAUUCUGGGAAGAAUGGGGCAUUUCACUUACCACCCUUCUGUACCAUUUUUAAGACUUGUCAGUAUCACAUUACUAUUUCUAGUUAAUGCUUGGCAAGGAAAUACAGUUAAAACUAAAAUAGAGAGGUAUUAUCAUUGUGCUUUUUAGCAGUCAACAGGUAUGAAUGUACGACUGAUGCAGAAGACUAUACUUUAAGAAUUUGUACCCAUCAUGGCUGGUAAUUAACGGUAUUUGGAUUCAGGCAGCUUAAACAAGAUUAACUAAUACACAGCAACUGGAAGAAAUCUGCGUUAAUCUUUAGUGCUAUUCCAGACCUGCCAGAAUUUCAGAGUCCAAAAAAAAAUGCAGUAUCUGCUGGAGAUAGCAAGAUGGCCUUAUAAUAUAGACAACAAGUAUUAUUAAAUUGCUCAUUUUGCUUUCAAAACAGUAAGCUUUCUACUAGGUGUAUUUUUUUUUUUUUUUGCUUUAAAGUUUGGAUUGAUUAAAUGAUUCUUUCGUCAAGAUUAGUCAAGUCGGUUCAUGGGACAAUGACCAAGAAAUACUCUUGCUCUGAUACUAUCGCUUUUAAAUAGUUAUGGGGGACCUUUUGCUGUUUGAUGAUCUGGCAUGAUUUCAAAACUGAAAGGCAAAAAGCGAGAACUUAGAAGUGCACCAUAUUUUCAUAAGCUUUGAGAAAAUAAAGCAUAACCUAAGCUGAUUAGGAUGUAGCAUUCAUUUUCAUGAGGAAGCAAUUUCCUGUGUAGUUACCUACACUUCUAUCAACUUCAAAAGUUUUUACCCAGAUUUUUUUUUUGCAAGCAGCUACACUUACUUCAUGAUAGUCAAUACACAUCUUGAAGAUGAACUCAUUUAACAGUAUUUACUUUUUUCACUUCACUAAUGAGGUUCAUCCCUUUAAGAGAAGGAACUCAACAUUAAGAAGCAACAUAACAGUUCUCUGCUUACCUUUCUGAUUUCACACUAGCAUCUUAUGUACGUCUUUGGCAAUUACCAUUGAUCUUCUAUGAAAAUGGAUGCAAAACCACAGAAUCUGGGUAUGGUUAGGACACGUGGUGAAAUGCUAAAUGCCAGAUAACAUCAGAUCUUUUCUAAUGUACAUUUUAACAACAAAUUAGCAAGACUACUUAAAAUAGGUGGUUUUAGAUGUAUCUGUGUAUGUUUGAGGCACACUGCUAAUCUGCUUAUGAACUGAAUUAUUUCUCAUUGAACAAUUUCAUUUAUUAGGCAAGCAAAUGCCAUUUCCCCAGUAAUAUCUUCACUGGAAACCUUGAGAAUUCAUAUUUCCUACUGGAAGGUCCAUUAGCAUAAAAUAAAGCAUCCCUGCAUUAGAGAUAUUUAUCUGGACCACUUUCAGAACCUAAAAUUUUCUUUCUGUAACUCCACAACAUACACUUCCUACUUUAGCAAUUAUUCCAGAUGAAUUAUAUAAAAGACUCCCAGCUUUAUCCUCUGCCUUGGAAAAAAAGUAUUCUUGAUUUAGCCAGCAGAAAUUCAAGCAAUGCCUUUCAAGAUAAAUUAGUAAAGUUAAUAGUUACAAUUUCACUUGUACUUUGUUCUGCAACUUCAGUGUUUACUUAAGUGAUGUUUGUUUUUUCAUACUAGGGAGCAUCGCCACUCAGGUAGACAUUAGAUGUUGAUACAAUCCCCAAGCCCAGGCCUUCCAACCAGUCCUCCCAAGAAGGAAAUUUAAGAAUCUUCAAGCUGUACUUAAUAGGAAAGCGAAUAAAAUACACAGAGGAUGACUUACGACACUUAUCUCCCAAUAGCUGGCCUGAUCAUUUUCCAUCAGUAGCCAUGAUCCAGACCCUCAAGAAGACUAUAUUGGCCACUUCAGAUUAGCUGCUAGGCCUGGAAAGCAACGGGGCCUUGGGAUAAGGUUUACCUUCUCUCCCACCCUGCUGGUGGUCAGAGCCCUUACAGUGGUUUCCUGCAAGAGCUGUUUGCUUACUGUGGUACAAAUCUCCCCAGUGGAGCCAGUUCACUUAAUACACCUACAAUUUUAGAGCAAAAAUUCAAAACACUGGCUUUAUACUCCCCUGCCAUAUGUUAACUAGUAUUACUUGCAAAUGCUAAAUCCUGUUAAGGAAUCCGAUCAUAACUGUGGAAACAGGCCCAGUAUUUUACGUAGCUUAUAAUAUUUAGAGUCCUGCGCAUUGAUUCGUACGAUCUGGCCCAGCAGCACUGAGGCUUUCUUUAUGCCAAGCACAGUGCAUCCAGCCCUCCCGCCCCAGCCAUCACAGCCCUCCAGCGGAGAUGCAGGAGGCAAUUUUGAUGGCAUUCAUCCAUCAUGGCUUGCUUUUGCUCAUCUGCCUUCUGGGCUGCUCUCAACCCAGCACAACCGCUUUUCACCCAGGCUUGGCCAGACACAGCACCACUUCUCCCUCUGUGCUGUCCAGGGAGACCUUAGCAGCAAAGAGCAGAGACCUACAGGGACUUCUGCAUGCUUGCAGCCCACCUAGAGACAACCUCUGCACACAGGCCCGCAGAGCUGCUCCGUCUACCUUGCCAAGCCAGCCAGGGCCCAGGCAGUCUCAAGGAAAAACACCUUUGAGCAGGAACCCGAGGUGCAAGCUUUGGAACACUACUCACUUUUUUACUAGCAUCUCCCCUUGCAAAGCAGCAGGAACAGCUGUUUUAAUCUUUUUUCCACCUCCUCUAAGGUGUGGGGGGUGAGGAAGUUCACUUUUAACUACCACCCAAGUAGUGUUUAGAUACUACCAGCAUACUUCAGGACAACACUGUUAGGUAGCCUGUCGGAAACGUGCUGGAAUUUGUCUACUGGCUCUGUGCCAGUCAUGCAUAUGUUUGUUUUUUAUUAUCUAUCAAAACUUUUAUUGAAAGCUUUUGCCUUCAGG